GCUGGGCGUGGUGGCGAGUGCCUGUAAUCCCAGCUACUUGGGAGGCUGAGGCAGGAGAAUCGCUUGAACCCAGGAGGCGGAGGUUGCAGUGAGCUGAGAUUACGCCACUGCACUCCAGCCUGGGCGAUAGAGUGAGACUCAGUCUCAA
rnacentral:SRP_RNA from 1 species